UACGGGGGGAGCAAGCGUUGUUCGGAUUUACUGGGCGUAAAGGGCGCGUAGGCGGCCAGCACAAGUCAGUUGUGAAAUCUCCGAGCUUAACUCGGAAAGGUCAACUGAUACUGUGCGGCUAGAGUGCGGAAGGGGCAACUGGAAUUCUUGGUGUAGCGGUGAAAUGCGUAGAUAUCAAGAGGAACACCUGCGACGAAGGCGGGUUGCUGGGCCGACACUGACGCUGAGGCGCGAAAGCUAGGGGAGCGAACGGG
rnacentral:rRNA from 1 species